GGGAGGGCCAUGGCCUUGGUUUAGUGGUGGGGAGGAAGUUGCCAGUUUAGGGCCUCAGGGGACAGAUGGGGGAGAUGACAGAGUUAGAUGAGACUGAAGGGGUUUGGGGUACAAGGACAAGGAAGGUUAAAGAGGAAGCUAGACCUUGGAGAAACUAUGGUGGGGAGAGUUGUGUUGACAGCUACCGCAGUGACCCAGCGAAGGACAGCCCUUCAGGCUGGACUGUCGCUGCCUUCUGGAGAAGGGGAACCUGACCUCUAGGAGGGCGCUGCCUUGUGUGGCCCCAGCGAGCCCCAGUGUCCUGGUUUGUGUAGGGAGAGGAAGGCAGAAGCGAGAGGAGACAGGAUCUCGCCACCCUUGCUGGAGAGGAAGCGGAACUGGGCAGUUGAUGCCAGGAGAACGAUCAGGAAGGAAGGCAGUGGGGUGUAGGGCUGCAGGUGGGCUGGGAGGGCAGACCUUGAACUUGUCAAUACCAGCAGCCCCCUUUUCUUUCAGAGGGCUGCGACCCCGCGUGGGGAUGAGGCCUGGUCUUGUGGAAACUGAACUUAGCUUGGCGGGGCUGACACCUCUGGCCCAGGGUGGUAUGUAAUUUUGGUUCGGCCUGGGACACGGUCCCGGCCGUGGCCAGCCUGGUGGAACCCGGGUCUGGGUGUGAGGCCAGACCCCUUGUUGGAGGCGAGGGUGGUCUCUGGAGUGAUUGAGGAGGCAAGGUGCCAUCUAAACAGUUAAUUGGUGUGGCGCCUGAUGUCUGACAGGCUGGGGCUGCUGAGGCAGGAUGUUUGUGUGUCUGCGGACAAAAUUGACCCACACUUUAUUUUCCAGGUGGCAGUGCUCCCCUUUGGACUUUUCCUCUAGGUUCGGUGCUAACUUCUGUGAGCUCACUCUGCUCCUCCUCCUCCUCUUAACUUUCUUGAGGUUAUCCAUUCGCUUAAAACAUUGCUUCUGGUAACCUGUGUUCAUCGUGGUGAUCAGAUGGCACCCAGGAGAAAUGGAGCCCCUGGCCAGUGUGAGUCAUAGCAGUGCAGGAGGGGAGACCCUGAAGGAGAGAGCUCGCCUAAAUUGAUGUCUGCAGAUGGAAUUUCCAGAGGCUUAGGAGGUGGAAGUUCUCCGAUGUCCCGUUUCCAGGCCUUGCUCAGGAAGCCCUGUAUUCAGGAGGCUGUUUAAGGUUUUCAGAUGAGUUUAUGAGGGGUCAAUCAUUAAAAGUCCAAAGCAGAUGCAUCGGGCCAUCCGCAGAUGUGUUGCAUUGAUUGAUCCGGGAGCGCCAACCUCCAGGCACGUGGAUGCCAGCAGGCACCCCUCCUUUUCUGGGGUGGAGGUUUUCAGAUGCUGCAUCUUCUAAACUGAGCCUCCAGUCAUAACUGGUUCUGGGCUACGAACUUUGCUUCAAGAAGAUUCUUAAGCUGUAGGACGUUUUAACAUGCCACAAGCAGAGGGAUGCCUUGUAGAUGAAUCUUGCAGACGGAGCCCAGUGACCCUCUCACCUGCCCGCCCGCCCGCCAGCCUGCCUGCCUGCCUGUGCGUUGGUUGGAGGAAUUAGUGUGAUGGUUUAACCUGUAUUUUGGGAAAGUGUUCACAUUUGAAAUGCCUUAGGCGAUACUUAAAUGAAGCAUACUGGCAAAUUGGGGGGGGGGGUAUUGUGUUAUGCUACAGUCUUGGGGGUAGAAGUUGGUUGUGGCCAAAUUCUGUUAGAAAUGGCAGGUCUAGUUUGGGCAUUUCAAUUGCAUUGCAGGUAGCUAAGCGAAGGGAGAGUAGCUGGGUUACUGUUAUCUUUGAUUCUUCUAUGUAUUUUUUUAAUGUGAAUUUUGUUUGAUGUAGUUUUCAAAGUAAUCUUUAAAUGGGAGGACCCUGAGGUGUGAGAGGUGGGGGUGGGGCACACCUUGACUUGGUACUGGGAGGGGUGGGGGUAAGGAAAGGGAGAGGGUUGGGUUUAGGUAUAUGCUGCAGAGGGUGGGGGUGGUAGGGAAUGUGGGUUGAAAGGAAUUCUGGCAAAAAAGGUCAAGUAGAGCUCUGGGGAAUAUAACAGACAACUGGGCAAAGAAAGUACUAGUUAAUGCUAGUUAAAUUGUCUCUUGAAAGCACAAAAAAUCCUUAGAAACUUUAAAAAGUCCUUUAGAAAUCUGCUAAAUGAAGGGAAAGCAAAAUUUGCUUUGCUGCUAGGUGGGGACGACGGAAAAGCUGUAAUUGAACAGGAAUGCCCAUCUCUUGAAAGUGGGGGAGGGGUACAGAAAUUCACACCAGCUGAGUAAUAACCUUCACUGCUUCACUAGCUUCUUCAGUGGUUUAUGUGAAGGUGUACAGUCAGUGUUGGAGCUAGAAAUUUUAGGAAAGACUAAAUGCCCGAGUUGUGAGCUUUUAAAGUACUUAAAUUUUUAAAAAAGUAAGUUUAAAAUUUUGGUGUGCACUUGAGAUUUAGAUGUACUCUUAACAGGUUUAUAACGUUUCUAUUUACUGAGAUUUUGUGAUUGAAAAUUUUGAGCAAAGUGAAAAUGCAAUGGCUUUUAAAGGAACUUUGUUUUAUAAAAUCUCUCCUCUUUGUGGUCUGUAUUAAGAGCAAAGUAAAAACUGUUGCUAUUACCUUAGUUCUUGUAACAGGAUAACCUUUUUGUGGUCCCUGUAACUGUAAUACUUGGUAGCAAACAAUCCAUGUACCCUUACAAAGGUUAGGGUUAACCGAUUGUAUCUUUAA